GUUGGUGGGGUAACGGCCUACCAAGGCUAAGACGGGUAGCUGGUCUGAGAGGAUGGUCAGCCACAAUGGCACUGAGAUACGGGCCAUACUCCUACGGGAGGCAGCAAUUAGGAAUCUUGCACAAUGGGGGAAACCCUGAUGCAGCGACACCGCGUGAAGGAUGAAGGUUUUCGGAUUGUAAACUUCUUUUGUAGUUUAACAAGUUCUGAGUGAACUACGAAUAAGCACCUGCUAACUGCGUGCCAGAAGCAUCGGUGAUGCGUGGGGUGCGAGCGUUAUCCGGAUUUAUUGGGCGUAAAGAGAAGCGUAGGUGUUUUGAUAUGUCUAUUGUUAAAUUCUUCGGCUUAACUGGAGAAGUGCGAUGGAAACUAUCAAAAUUGAGACAGAGAGAGGAAAGUAGAAUUCCCGGUGGAGCGGUGAUAUGUGUUGAUAUCGGGAGAAAUACCAGUGGCGAAGGCGACUUUCUGGCUCUGUUCUGACACUAAGGCUCGAAAGCGUGGGUAGCAAAACGGAUUAGAUACCCGUGUAGUCCACGCUGUAAACGUUCCUCACUAGAUGUUGGGUGAGCUAACUUAUGGAACUUGUUUCUAUUCGUUGGUGAGCUCAGUGUCGUAGCUAACGCAUUAAGU
rnacentral:rRNA from 1 species